AUACAGAGCACAAUAUGCACAAGCAAGCAAUCUGGAGCGAACAAAAGAAAUGAUAAAAAUACAUUAAAGAGGCAUCUGGUUUUCAGAUUCAUUUGAGCCUGAUUUACAAAUUCUGUUUUAUUGUUUUAAACUUUUAGGCAUAAAACAAUGGGUCACUCGGCAUGACAGGACUGAAACCACCCAAGCACGGCUUCAUCGUCACAGUAUUGUUCAUUUUCAAUUUCUGGCUUAAAUACAGGCAUGUCUGGACCCACGAGUGAUGAAAGACAGCAGCUUCUUCAAAGGGCUUGAAGGAUGCUGAGAUGUUACCAAGUUAUUGGUUGUCUAGAAGUAGGAUGACAUCCUCAGGAAGAAGUCUGAUGAGGCGGCUCUCUGGAAUCCCAAGCCUCGGGUCCAGACCUUUAUCAUAUCUUGGAACAUGAAGUCAGUUGGAAGGCGGGGGGAAAAGCAAUGUCCAAUUCAAAGGGGACACACACAUGGCUGCACAUGGAGGCAUCCUGGAUUCCUGCCUUCCUGGAUUACCUAUCUGCUUCCCAGAUGCUUUUAUGCUGCCAACAGCCCAUACAAAAGCCAUGUUAAAUUAUCCUCUGAUCCAAACGAGGACAGAGGCUGUAAAGCAGGAAGUCACCCUGGAGACCACACGGUUUCACAGAAGGACAAACUUUGGACUAGAAAACCAAGAGACUUGUUCAAAGAGUGACAACCAGGACCAGACCCACAUCUCCAAAGUAAGAAGUCUUGACUUCAUGACUUCGAUGGGUGCACUCCAAAACUGCAGCAUACAAAUACGACUGGUCAACUGGAGAUUAACAGAUUGAUUAAUUAAUUGAUUAAGCUCUGUUCUUAAUCUUGAGAUUAAAAAGUGGAGGAAAAUAUGAGAAAAAAGGAAAAAAUCUAGUGGAUUCAGAAACUGUACUGUGCAUAGCAAUAAGUCAUAUAUUUAGGUUUAGAAUUGUGGUCAAUGCCCUCAUGCUUCUUAUUAAUUUAUUCAAUAAACAUUUGUUUAACACCA